AGUGGGAUAGUUGGGUUAUAUGGUGGCUUGUCCCUAGUUUUUUGAGGAAUCUCCAAAUUGCUUUCCAGAGUGGUUGUACUAGUCUGCAGUUCCACCAACAAU
rnacentral:pre_miRNA from 1 species